UACGAAGGGUGCAAGCGUUAAGUCGGAAUUACUGGGGACGUAAAGCGCGCGUAGGUGGUUUGUUAAGUUGAAUGUGAAAGCCCCCGGGCUCAACCUGGGAACUGCAUCCAAAACUGGCAAGCUAGAGUAUGGCAGAGGGUGGUGGAAUUUCCUGUGUAGGCGGUGAAAUGCGUAGAUAUAGGAGGGAACACCAGUGGCGAAGGCGACCACCUGGGCUAAUACUGACACUGAGGUAGCGAAAGCGUGGGGAGCAAACAGGAUUAGAUACCCCCGUAGU
rnacentral:rRNA from 1 species